AUGCGGGUGUGAAUGUGUACAUGUACACGAAUGUGAGUGUGAGUGUGCAUGAGCGUGAGCGUGCGUGUGCGUGCGAGUGUGCACGAGCGUGACUGUGAGUGUGCGUGCGUGGAAGCGCGGCGGGGAGCCUGGCUGAAGGCCUGCUGCCUGCAUGGCUGUCAGAGAAAAACAGAAGUGGGAGCCUGCUGCGGGCUCCGAGAGGACUUGAUGGGAGCCCUGGCGCGCGCUGGGCACCGCGCGGAGAACAAUAUUGCCAAGAAUAUCUGGAUGGAUGGAGGUGGCCGGCAAAUCGUCAGAAGCAACUCAGACAGUCCAGAGGAGGAUGGUGCAGAGCCAGAGGAGGCACAGGGAGGCGGCAGGCAGAUCUGAGAGGCAUCACCAAGGCAGCGCUAAGGAAGGAGGAUGCUUCGGGUAGCAGCCCAGCGCUCUUCACUGGACUGAAGGCACCUCUUCUCUUUAGAGAGAGAACAUUUUCAAAGGUUAAGCCUAAAAAUCAGGACAGAUUUUACUUUGUUAUUGUUGUUUCUUGAGGCCUAAUUUUUAAAAAGCCUGUGUGCUGGCUGCUGAUGGCCUUGAUGAGAAAGUGGCCGUCAAUUAAACAGACAAGGGGGAACCGAGGAAUCCAGGUCAGCACGAUUUCCUGAUCUGUGGCAGUGACUGUGACCUGACUGGACUUGAGCUGGAACUUCAAAUAACACCAUUAGGUCCUAAUCAUAUCAGAGGUGAUCUAACAUGACUUCCCACACCAUCCCCUUUCAAAGAUGCAAGUCACAUGGGCACGUCUGUAAAAUGCUGAAGGCUGCACCGUGUGAGCUGCACAAAUUCAAAGUUUUCUGACUUUGCCAGCCCAGUAACACUGCCAGGUGCCAGCUUGUGGCAUUUCUGUCAGAAACCCAGCUGGCAUGAAAGUGGGUUUUUCAUCCAGCCUGGAGUAGCCCCCUGCAUUCAGAAAUUCUUUGCCUGACUACAGAAGUCUAAAUCAGGACUCACUUUCCCCCGAGCUAGAGGAGGAGGAAUGUGAAGCCUUGGAAAGAGUCGGCACCAUUCUGGGAGUCAGAUUAGUACACCCCAAGAAAGGGAGAGUGGCUGGGCCAGCUGCGACACAGUCCCCAACCGCUACCCGUUCCUCCACCGCCCACCAAGCCCAGAGCAGCCUCCCUCAGCCAGAAGACAGCUUGGAGGAUGGAAGACUGUUCAACUUGUGGCUUAAGCACAUUAUUAAAACCAAAGAGGAAAAUUCUUUGAAGAGAUGGGGUGGAGCUGAAUUUAAGAGAAAUAAUAAAAACCAUGACCAGG